CGUCGUCUUCAUCAUCUCCAUUUUCUACUUCUGCUUCGUCAUCUUCAUCAAAAUAUAUAUAUAUCGUCCGUUUCAUCGAAGCAAUUUCGUCAUCAUCUUCAAAAAAAAAUAAGAUGAGAAAGAGGAAAAUUGAAGAACGGGUUGAAAUUAAAGCAGAUUCAGAAAGAAAUGAAUUAGAAAAAGAAACAAUGAAUCAAGUAAAAAAAGCAAAGGAGCAUUGAACAAGAAAAUCAAAUCUACAUCUAGGAAACGUAAUACUACAGAAAUCAAUCGUGAUGAAGAAGAAGGAGGAUCAAAUCAUAAUAAUAAAUCUACAUCGGAGAAAUUUACUACCACAAAGAUCGAUAGCAAUGAAGAAGAAGGUACUAAACCC